GGUGCAGUGUAAAGAUUUAUUGUAAUAACCAAAUUAUAAAUGCUGACCAUCUUCACAAUAUAUUGAUUAAACCAGACAUUUAUGAAACAUUCCACCACCAAGCUUUAUCAAGAACAUUGGUCGCACAUCGAUAUUUACUCAAAGUUGUUUGAAAUUUUAACUCAAGGUUGAAACUAUAACAGCGGCUUGAUACUUUGUUUUCCUGUAAAAUUAUAAAUGAAUGCUGGUUAAUAUUGCAAACCCGGACUGGUAAAGCCAUAAAGUCACUAAUUAAAUGAGUAUUAAUAAUAUAGAGAGUAUAGAAAGAAGAUUUUAAUGUAGCUACAUCUAUUCAGUUUACCUUUAUGCUAACCUAUAGCUUCAGUUUUGACCAGAUAUACCAUGGCCAUAGAAGCUAAACUUGAUUUGAUUAUCUGAAUAACUACAGGAGUGUGUGGUGUUUAUAUCCACAUUGGGUGUUUUAUUGUAGUGAUGACUAUUAGCAUACCGUUAAACUUUGGACAUUAUGUGUUUAAAAAAAGCAAUGGUACUAUGAUGAAAACAUAAAGUGGAGGACAUAUUUGUAGCUCUUUAAACCAACAAAUAAUUGCCGAGCUUGUGUCUGUUAUUUUAUUGCCCUUUCCCUCCCAAUAAAUCCAUCGAAUCUGACAGAUCUGAAACAUACACUUGUUUGUGUGUGUAUGUAGAAAUAUAGCAGGAUUUUGAAUUUUGGUGGUGCAGUUGGUGAGUAAAGCCCCUCGGAGCACCGAUGAAUUCUCUUGCACGUUCUGUCCGCCCUCAUUGUCUCCAUGUGAACCCACACGGCUGCUCUCACAUCCAGAUGUGCUGACGGCCACGGUGAGCUUUUGGGGCCGCAGGCCUCGAUGACCUUAAGGGCUUUCAGAAGCGUGCUCGCCGACACCCCCUUACAUGCUGCUGAGAGUCAUCAGUUAUGCAGGGGAACCGCUCGCACUAAGGGGGGAGAUAGCAGCAACAAUAUGGCGACAACCGCAGUUUCUCCCAAAUCCUCCUCGCAUCCGCAGUCCUGCAGCGGCUCCCUGGGUUCCGUGUAAAGCUUUCUCGGCAGGCGGCUCUGAAAUCUUGCAACUCUAUGCAUGUUGUCACGUGGCGAGCGCCACAGUGAAGUGUGGGAUUUUACAUUUGUGCCAAAAAUCUGGAACUUAUGAAUAUCUUCAUCAAUUCAGCAGAGCAGCUAAUGCUGUGGAUGGUACAGACCUAAAGACCA
rnacentral:lncRNA from 1 species